AGGUCACGCUCCCACUUUACGAAACAUACCUCAUCACCAUCUCACGUUAUUAUUAUUUCGUAACAAACAGUUCUCAAAAUUUCCAUUUGAAAUGUCAUCUUCAAAUUCAUCCCCAUUUGCCAGCAUAUUGAAAUCCGCAAUCCUUGUGUUGCAACCGCAAUAAUAACAAUUGGAUUAUUAUUUAAAGUGCUUGGACGUGCUUUCAGCGCUGAAGUAUGUCUCUUACGACCGUGUCGCUGAAUAAGAACACGAUUUAUCAGUUUCUAGAACAAGUUGAUCCGGGAUCAGGCUUUCUAGAUUUUCGGUAUCCUGUAGAUGUUUGGAACUACAUCAUCUACUGCCUUCCUUUCGUUUUGUUUGUGAUCACAGUAAUGUUUGUUCACAUCCCGAUUGUCUUGCAUUUUCUCCAUUGGGCUCCGAAAUUGCUUUGGCCCAGGCUGAUGGGAUUUCCUUUGUUGCAUGAAUUAUUGAGAAGACUCACUCAACUUACAAACCCACAACCUCCGUCGGCUGGAGAUUUCAUCCGAUACUUUGAAAGAUUGUAUAAUUUUACAAAUCCUGAACAUGUCAACUCCAGCAAUUCAAGUAUCUCAUUAACAAGUUUAGUACUCUGACCGUACGUUAUUGUGCAUUUUAAUACAAAAAAGAAAUAAAAUAUGUUGUUCACUA